rnacentral:rRNA from 1 species
AGAGCGAACGCUGGCGGCAGGCCUAACACAUGCAAGUCGAGCGCCUCGCAAGGGGAGCGGCAGACGGGAGAGUAACACGUGGGAACGUACCCUUCAGUUCGGAACAACCCAGGGAAACUUGGGCUAAUACCGAAUACGUCCGUAAGGAGAAAGAUUUAUCGCUGAAGGAUCGGCCCGCGUCUGAUUAGCUUGUUGGUGAGGUAACGGCUCACCAAGGCGACGAUCAGUAGCUGGUCUGAGAGGAUGAUCAGCCUCACUGGGACUGAGACACGGCCCAGACUCCUACGGGAGGCAGCAGUGGGGAAUAUUGGACAAUGGGCGCAAGCCUGAUCCAGCCAUGCCGCGUGGGUGAUGAAGGCCCUAGGGUUGUAAAGCCCUUUCGGCGGGGAAGAUAAUGACGGUACCCGCAGAAGAAGCCCCGGCUAACUUCGUGCCAGCAGCCGC